AUUGAACGCUGGCGGCAGGCCUAACACAUGCAAGUCGAACGAGUGGCGGACGGGUGAGUAAUGUCUGGGAAACUGCCCGAUGGAGGGGGAUAACUCCUGGAACCGGUAGCUAAUACCGCAUACCAUCGGAUGUGUCCAGAUGGGGUUAGCUAGUAGGUGGGGUAACGGCUCACCUGGGCGACGAUCCCGAGCUGGUCUGAGAGGAUGACCAGCCACACUGGAACUGAGACACGGUCUAGACCCCUACGUGCGGCAGCAUUGGGGAAUCUUGGACAUUGGGCGCAAGCCUGAUGCAGCCAUGCCGCGUGUAUGAAGAAGGCCUUCGGGUUGUAAAGUACUUUCAGCGAGGAGGCGUUACUCGCAGAAGAAGCACCGGCUAACUCCGUGCCAGCCGCCGCGGUAAUAC
rnacentral:rRNA from 1 species